rnacentral:lncRNA from 1 species
CAGCUUCAUUGAUUCUUAUAUAGUCCCCCUCUCGUGUAUUGGGCUGGCGGAGCAACAUUAUUACAGGGGUGUGACUGCUAUGUUUCUCAUAUUCCUUGCUAAUAUCACUAUGCAUGGGCGUAGUCUUGUCUCACAAUGAUUCCUAACUAUGUGCACUAAUUAUGAUAAUGCUAGACUAUAUAGUUAAGAAUAACUUAGGGAAUAUUCUUGUAGUUCGUUCUAAUACCAUGCUAAUGACUUUCUAGAGUAUCUAAUUGAGGUGCUUAUCAUAUUUAUUAUGUGGCUAGAUCAGAUUAGUUACCCUUGUCACUAUUAUUAUUUCAUAUAUCUUUUAUGUGACACUUAUCCCUGUAUGAAGAGUUAGAUAUAAUGUUCUCAAUUAUACAUGCAAUGAUAUAUGCUCAAUCUCAUAUUCUAUUCUGUAAUCAAUAGUGAUGAUUGCUAAUCCCUUCCCAGUGGUAAAAAUAUAAAUAACGAUACCUGGAAUACUUCCCGGUUAAAAUGCUGCAUCGGUAUUAAUCUGUGCGCUUGCAGAUCCCAUUCAUUAUUUAUUUAGAAGAGCAAUUUCAUAUUUCAAUACCGCGUCUCUCAUAUCAUGUUGGGGAUGACAACUUGGCUUAAGUGGUGUGAGGGAUAGGUUUGGCAUUUUUGGCACCGUUACUAGAUUUAGAGAACUUAGUCUACUUUUGGUAAUGAUGUUAAGAAUACCCAACAGAGUCCACAUGCAUUUCUCCUCUGAGAAGGUACGCUGCUAUUUUACUGACCCUAACCAUAUAGUUGAAGACUCUAAGCAGGUCAGGACAAGAAGAAGACGACGCAACCGCAACCAGAGGAGGCAAAUUAUCAAGGACGGAUGGGCGGACUAUGAAGGAGAAGUGGUAAGGUCUGAAGAUAAACAACUUGAACAGAACUAUCCUGAGGAGACCGUAGCACCGAGUCAGGUGUGGAGAGAGAAGAUAGUUAUACAUGAAGAGGAGGCGCAGCCGGAACCACCGACUAUGCCAUCCAGUAAAUCCCAAGACGACUGAGAAUACGGAGAGUCCCGUUCGGACGACUUAAAAACACCAAACGCCUUGCCAAGAGGUAAACUUGGUAGUUAUCCUUUUCCUUUCAAUUAUUUAAAAUAGUUUCCUUAGUUAGGUUCAUGCUAUCUCGAAAAGAAAAUAAAAAUGUUAAAAAUUGUAAGCCCCAUGUGAGUAUGCUCAUGGCAUAAAACCCAUAAGUACAUUCACUGUGGUGGCAUAAAAAUAAAAUAAAUAUAUUCCUAUCCUAUAAAAAUAAAAUUAUAAAAAUAAAUUUAUGAUCCUACUAAAGAGUGUAACAUUUAUUGAGGAGGCUCAACAUGAUAAAGGCUAAAUAUUUAUGCUAACACUUAACUAGUUCCACAAAGUUUUAUUGUCUAUUUGAGCUCCACAGAAUUCAAAGAUCAAAGAAGACUAGUAGACGGAGGACAUCCUAAUCGCUGUUAGAGUGCUGCCGACAUUCAAAUACACCCUCGCCACCUGCUAGCUACAUCAGAAGAAAAUACGUCAAAAUCCAGCUUGGGGGAGAGCAUCCCCAUUUAUCCAGCUAAGUGUUUUACUCACGUUUAUAUUUUACUCAAAUAAUAAAAAGAUGCAUAAUCAUAAAAACCCAAAUAAAGAUUUUGUGCUUAUAUAUAUCUUUGCUUAGUUUGCUAAAUAAAUAAAUAAAUAAAUAAAUAAAUAAAGUUUGCUAUGAACCCUCAUGAUAAGCUCUCACAUGGAAAUGAUGAAUAGUUGCACUGCCAUGACUAGUUCUCAAAAUUGAAAUCUCUCUCAAGUUUAGGCAUGACUGGUAUUAAUUAAGAUUUGCUCUAAACCUGAACUUGUGGGGAGAGUACUUGAUCUAAAGUUUAAGUCAUUAAUAGAUAUGAUAUGGGAAGGUUGAGCUGCUGUUUAUCUGUUCCUAGAGAUGAUAGAAUUCUAGAGAAUUUUAUCUCUAAAAAUCUUUAAAAUGUUGCAUGAUGAGUUCCUAUAUGAUGAGAGUUUAAAUUCCUACCACAGCCAUAUAUACAUGCUUGCUAAACUUUGAGCCACACAUUUACUUUUUACUGCUUAUGAGCAUUGAGUGUGGUCAAGCUGUGUAGACCCUUAGGAGCUUGUCAUGUGGUUAAAACAAGAUUCACUUGCACGUUCACUCACACAUGUUGCUUCUACUCCGGAAGUACGCAUCCACAUACAUCCACUCAUUUCCAUAUCCAGAUUCACCCAAAAUUAUUCUACUCCUAUCUAGGGGAGAAUAGCCAAAAACAUUAUCCUAUCCCUGUUAUUCCCUAUAAAAUAAAUGCUCAAGUUAUUUCGGUUACUACCACUUGCUACAUUAUUUCAAGAGAUGAGUGCUCUAAAAAAAGAUACGAGGAAAUAAAAAGGGGCAAGUGCCCAGAACCUCGAAGAAAAGAAAAAGUGAGACGAGAGGUAAAAAUGGACAAGUGACCGACAGUAGAAUUAGGGCUACAAGAUACCCACCUGAGAGAAAAGGAAAAAAAUAUAGAGCAUCUCAUUCCCCUAAAAAAGCUUCAAAGUGCAAGAAAGGUAUGUAUCCCCUCAAAAGAGCAAAUGUAGAAUUAGACUUUCACCAUUGUUAUCACCAUCAUCACCAUUGUUAUCACCAUUCAUUCGCCACACAUGCAUAUCUUGAUUUGACUUAUUGACUUGAUCUUCUGGAUCCAUGGUUUGACUAUGCAAUAAAUGUCUUGUAAGUAUGUAUUAGCUGUCUCCCACCUAUGAGCUCCAUAUAUCAAAAGCCUUAGUAGGG